AUGGAAGCAAUGGUGGCCGUGGCUGUGCUUGUGCCUUGGCUAGCAUGGCUCAUCGUCUCUUUCCUUUCCCUCUACCUCCUCAGCCUGCUCGCGCACGCGCGCUCCGGCCUCCCUCCGGGCCCCCGCCCACUGCCGCUCAUCGGCAGUAUCCACCUUCUCGGCGACAAGCCGCACCGCUCUCUUGCUCGCUUAGCCAAGAUCCACGGCCCGCUCAUGUCCAUCCGCCUCGGCACGGUCACCACGGUCGUCGUCUCCUCCCCCGCCAUGGCCCGGGAGUUCCUGCAGAGGCAUGACUCCGUGCUCGCCACCCGGUCCGUGCCUGACGCCACCGGCAAGCACGCGCGGCUCGACGCGCUCCACCACCUCCGGAGCGACAAAGUGAGGGAGCUCACGGACCACGUCGCGCGGCUGGCGCGCGAGGGCACGCCGGUGAACAUCGGCCGCGUGGCCUUCACGACGAGCCUGAACCUUGUCUCCCGAACCAUCUUCUCCAUCGACCUCACGAGCCUCGGUGACCACGGCCGCUCCAAGGAGUUCCAUGAGGUGAUCACGGGCAUGAUGGAAGGCUUGGGGACCCCCAACGUGUCGGACUUCUUCCCGGUGCUGGCGCCGGCCGACCUGCAGGGCAUGCGCUGGCGGUUGGCGCGGCUGUUUGCACGGCUGCACGCCGUGUUCGACGCCGAGGUGGACCAGAGGCUGCGCGGCCGCGACGCCGGCCAGCCCAGGAAGAACGACUACCUCGACGUGCUGCUCGACUUGGCGGCGAGUGAGGAUCGGAAGGACCUGCUCGACCGUGAGACGCUACGCUCACAUCUUACGGUAAACACAACUUACCUCUGCCUCCAGUACCCCCGGUAA
rnacentral:rRNA from 1 species